CACGUAGGGCGCAAGCGUUGUCCGGAAUUAUUGGGCGUAAAGAGCUCGUAGGCGGUCUGUUGCGUCCGCUGUGAAAACUCGGGGCUUAACCCCGAGCCUGCAGUGGAUACGGGCAGACUAGAGGUAGGUAGGGGAGAAUGGAAUUCCCGGUGUAGCGGUGAAAUGCGCAGAUAUCGGGAGGAACACCAGUGGCGAAGGCGGCUACCUGGACCGGUUCUGACACUGAGGAGCGAAAGCGUGGGGAGCGAUCCGG
rnacentral:rRNA from 1 species